UACGUAGGGUGCAAGCGUUGUCCGGAAUUAUUGGGCGUAAAGAGCUCGUAGGCGGUCUGUCGCGUCUGCUGUGAAAACUCGGGGCUUAACCCCGGGCCUGCAGUGGGUACGGGCAGACUAGAGUGCGGUAGGGGAGACUGGAAUUCCUGGUGUAGCGGUGAAAUGCGCAGAUAUCAGGAGGAACACCGGUGGCGAAGGCGGGUUUCUGGGCCGUAACUGACGCUGAGGAGCGAAAGCAUGGGGAGCGAACAGG
rnacentral:rRNA from 1 species